GGGGAAUUUUGGACAAUGGGGGCAACCCUGAUCCAGCCAUGCCGCGUGCGGGAAGAAGGCCUUCGGGUUGUAAACCGCUUUUGUCAGGGAAGAAAUCCUCUGGGCUAAUACCCCGGGGGGAUGACGGUACCUGAAGAAUAAGCACCGGCUAACUACGUGCCAGCAGCCGCGGUAAUACGUAGGGUGCGAGCGUUAAUCGGAAUUACUGGGCGUAAAGCGUGCGCAGGCGGUUGUGCAAGACAGAUGUGAAAUCCCCGGGCUUAACCUGGGAACUGCAUUUGUGACUGCACGGCUAGAGUGCGGCAGAGGGGAGUGGAAUUCCGCGUGUAGCAGUGAAAUGCGUAGAUAUGCGGAGGAACACCGAUGGCGAAGGCAGCUCCCUGGGCCUGCACUGACGCUCAUGCACGAAAGCGUGGGGAGCAAAC
rnacentral:rRNA from 1 species